rnacentral:rRNA from 1 species
GAUGAACGCUGGCGGCGUGCUUAACACAUGCAAGUCGAACGGUGAAGGCGGAGCUUGCUCUGCUGGAUCAGUGGCGAACGGGUGAGUAACACGUGAGCAAUCUGCCCCUGACUUUGGGAUAAGCUCUGGAAACGGCGUCUAAUACUGGAUACGAGCUGCGAAGGCAUCUUCAGCAGCUGGAAAUAAUUUCGGUCAGGGAUGAGCUCGCGGCCUAUCAGCUUGUUGGUGAGGUAAUGGCUCACCAAGGCGUCGACGGGUAGCCGGCCUGAGAGGGUGACCGGCCACACUGGGACUGAGACACGGCCCAGACUCCUACGGGAGGCAGCAGUGGGGAAUAUUGCACAGUGGGCGAAAGCCUGAUGCAGCAACGCCGCGUGUGGGACGACGGCCUUCGGGUUGUAAACCUCUUUUGGCAGGGAAGAAGCGAGAGUGACGGUACCUGCAGAAAAAGCGCCGGCUAACUACGUG